rnacentral:rRNA from 1 species
UACGGAGGGUGCAAGCGUUAUCCGGAUUCACUGGGUUAAAGGGUGCGUAGGUGGGUUGGUAAGGUCAGUGGUGAAAUCUCCGAGCUUAACUUGGAAACUGCCAUUGAUACUAUCAGUCUUGAAUAUUGUGGAGGUCAGCGGAAUAUGUCAUGGUAGCGGUAGAAAUGCUUAGAUAUGAACAUAGAACACCAAUUGCGAAAGGCAGCUGGCUACACAAUAUAUUGACACUGAGGCAACGAAAGUCGUGGGGAGCGAAUCCGGGA